CGCAAUCAUAGGUCUCCAUCUGGUCCCAGAAACCUGCCUCUACACGACUGACAUUAUGCCUUCUCUUUCUCACGCCUCGACCUGACUCCUCCUCAGUCCUCACCCACCAUAUACUAAGUACUCUCUAGUCUAUCCCUUACCUUCUUUGAAAUUAUUAAAUUUAGAUCUUGCUAAGGUGGUGGUAAUGUAGAGAUAGGGAAAUACUGUUGAAAAC
rnacentral:lncRNA from 1 species